AGAAAAUGAAUGUUUUUUCGUGAGAACUACUAAUAGUGGACGUGUUGUAUUUUGCGUGCGUGUGCUGUGCGUGUUAUAUUUAUUUCAUCUGGAUAUUGUUGGUAUGGCUAUAGUGGAUAAUUUUCCUUGCGAUGAAUGCCAUUUGUUUGGGAACAGUGUGGUAGAGAGGUCAAAACACAGUCGGGAAUCUCCAAACACAAAGCCACCCACGCACGGGAAGGAAAAUAUUUCUGUUGCGGCAAACCUUUUCUUGGAGAUUAAAGUAUUUUUGGAAGCACCUUCAAGAGACGUACUGAUAUCUUGAUCAAUGAAAAUUUGUCAUAUAUAGUUAAUGUUCAAAAUUUUAAAAGACUGUUUGUUUUGUUACCAGAUGGUGCAAGUAUUGCAGUGAAAGAAAACAAUCAAAGUAAAUAUUAAAUACACAUUUGACAAUUCAACCAAUUGAACAACAUGUAUUGUUUAUUACUUGGUGCGGUGUUAACAAGAUCUUGCAGCCCCUUUCAUGACCGGGUCGAAUGAGUAUUUUCAUUAUACAUCUUACACUAUUUUCAGUUAUUCAGAUUUCAUUUGAAAUUGAGUUCAUGAAGUAUUAAUACAAUUAAAUAUGUCUGUUGGUAUAAUAAACCCCCAAAGCCAAGACUAUUUUGCGAUGAUCAUUUGUUACGUGUUAAUUAGAUCAUUUAUAUGUUUGUAUAGCAAGAUUUGUUACUUUGCGAAUACUGAUGUACUUCUUUAUGUACUUGGUGCUUUAAUUUCUAUUGUAACAUGUGCAUGCUAGUUAUAAGGCAAUGUUAUUAUUAAUAUAGUGUUUAUUUUGAUAUACUUAAGAUGUUCAUAUGGAGAUGAUAUUGGAAACUAAAUGAACUUUAUAGACCACAAACAAUCAUCAUUGGAUUUAUAUUGUUAUUUGUUAUGAAACAAUUGUUUUAUUAACAUACAUGCUCAGAUUUUAUAUUCAUCUAAUCAAUUUCAUUAAUAACAUAGAUACAAACACAUAAAUAUACACAAAUAUCAAUACAUACACUUUGU